rnacentral:snRNA from 14 species
ACACUUACCUGGUAGAGAAAACAGGAUCAGCAGGUGGCUAUCCCAAGGCAAGCGUUACCCAUUGCACUGUGGAAACGCUGGCCCCUGUAAUUUUCUCAAAAGCCGGAAGGAAUCUUGAUACUCUGUGUGGUAGUGUGAGGACUGCAUUUGUGCUCUGCCCUGU